UUUUCUUCCCUCCAGGUAGGCAAGAAAGGAUGAAGAAUAGAGAACAGAAAGUAAAGCGAGCAUGCAAGUCAGAUGCAUGUUUGUAGGUGGCAGAUGUUCCCCGCCAGAGCUUCGUGGAUUUAACAUCACUCCUUUUGCUUUCAUCACGAAAUUGAGACGAUAGCAAUUUCAUUGCCCCCCAAUCGCAGCGCCUCUCCGGUGUGAAUGUACUACUGCUCUUUCCCUGGGUUUCUAACGCUGCCUGGCUACAUGGCAUCAGCAGAGGUAACUGACUGCAAACUCAGAUGUGGUGCUUUUCUUUUCCGUUUGCCUGGAGUGGUGGACCAGUUUUGAGGAGUGAUAAAUGCGUGCUGGCAGCACCACGUUGUCUCCUGGCUCCGGGGCGACUGGGCUCCAGGAAGCACAGGCAUCUCCGAGGCUGAAGGAGCUCGUGGGCACUGACAGGCUUCCUGCUGGAGAGGCAGCCGAGUGGAGGGUUGCUAAGGACGCAGUUCGGGGCUGCCCAGACGCUGCAGCUUUGAAGAGACACUUCCGCCUCAAUCACAUGUCUCAUUUGUCACCAUUUUCCUUGGCUCCUAAACUAUCCCCUAGAGUACAACUACCACGCGAUACUCUCAUCACAACAGAAAGACUGUGAAGUAGUAAGUCUGAGUCAUACUCAUGACCUAGUUCCAAGUUCUAAAAAAGUUACCAGGUGAACUAUAACAUCAAGACAUCCUACAUCUUAAGCCCUGCCAUUGAAUGUUUGUCCCACAAGGUUUCCCUCUGCACUCACUGUGCUGUUGGUUUGUGGAUGAAUUCCGACGAGCUGGGUUGGAAUCCUCACGCACCACUUAUUAGGUCACUUGUGUGACCUUGGAGAUGCAGGACCUGCCUCUGGCUACACACGGAUGGAGAGUCUCCCACAGGCCACAGGUCCCACCAAGAUAAAAGACUGGCUCUGGAGGACAUGCUACGCAGGACAGAUGACAAUGAUGACAAUGGCCAGAGCCAAAGGGAAGCCUGCCAUCGGAUUGCAUAAGGAUGGUGCUGGGUGCCCUGAACGCUGGUGCGCUGGCCCUGCUCUGAUGCUCAGGGGGUACCUUACUCACUAGCUGUUCAGAGAAUGACCUUGCAGAAUGCUUCUACCACUGUUGGCCUUUCAUUCAGAGACCUCAUUGAUCUCUAAUCCUUCCCCCAUGGCCUGUGCAGCUGGGACCCUCUCUUCUUUCAGGAAGAAGCUCACCCUCCAGGUAGGUCCACCCGAAUACCUGCUCUAAGCUGACCUCCAUCCCACCCUAUCCCAUUCCUCUUCUAGUAAUUGUAUUGGUCACUUUUUAAAUUAACUUUGUAUAUUUAACUUUUUUUAUUGGCUUAAUGAUCAUCUCUCCCCAUGAAGGGAAAGACCUCUUUUGCCUUCUUCACUUCCGUAUCCCCCUGCCUUAAACCAUGCUCAGCAUCUAUCUGUUGAAAAAAGGAAGGGCCCUUUCUCUCCCUCAAACACUGGAGUAUAUUGUAUGUCAUAUACUGUUUACACGUUUUCUCUCGUCUAUGCUACUAGCUUCUUGAAGGUGGGGAAUGAUUCAUUCUUAUCCUUCACAAUGCCUGGGAGAGACCUCAGUUUCAAUAAGUCUUCAUUGAAUGCAGAUAUAAAAAUAAAUGGUGCAGAGGCAGAGAGCAUUUCUUUUCUCUUUCAGAACAACUGGACACAGCAUUAAGCCUGAGAGAGAUCAAAACUAAUUGCCGGAACGAGAAUCACAGGCAUUCACUGCGUCUGUACCAAGGACGGACUUGGAAAAGGGUGUAAUCAACUAGCAGCACACGGUAUCCAGUGUGACCUCUGUGCUCUUCACAGUGCCGUUCUCUUCGGGGAACUGGCUGCCUUUGUGGCCUGUGGGAUGAAAAGCUUCCCAAAAUAGAGGCCAGGAAUGAGGUCUGGUUCUGAUGGGAGGGACCAGAGCUGGAGGGCACCUUCCUAUGAGCACGGGGCAUCUGUGUUAUUCUUUCAGCAAAGCAUUUUGAUUUUCCUCAUCAAUAAAAAGCACUUUGAUUUUCCUUAUCAAUAAAAAUGGAGGUGCCCAUAAAACAUUUUGGGUAUCUGGGGGAUGUGAAAAGGUCAAGUGAGGUAUUAAUCCAGAGAGUGAGAGGUUUGGGGCAGAAAUGGGACCAUUAAGUCAAAAUGGUGUGCAUUAAAAAAUGGUAGAGUGAUCUGUUCUGGUUGUCCUGGGUAAGAACACUAGGCCUGUGACCAGCUCAGCUGGGUUGAGAUGAGGCUGCAUAAACUCUAGGAUAAGAGACUGGAGCUGUAUUCCAUUGUGUAGAU